GGCCGUGUGGCGUAAUGGCAACGCGUCUGACUACGAUAACCGUGAUCAGGAGAUUUGCAGGUUCGACCCCUGUCUCGGUCA